rnacentral:rRNA from 1 species
ACCCGCUGAACUUAAGCAUAUCAAUAAGCGGAGGAAAAGAAACCAACAGGGAUUGCCCUAGUAACGGCGAGUGAAGCGGCAACAGCUCAAAUUUGAAAUCUGGCUCUUUUAGAGUCCGAGUUGUAAUUUGCAGAGGGCGCUUUGGCUUUGGCAGCGGUCCAAGUUCCUUGGAACAGGACGUCACAGAGGGUGAGAAUCCCGUACGUGGUCGCUGGCUAUUGCCGUGUAAAGCCCCUUCGACGAGUCGAGUUGUUUGGGAAUGCAGCUCUAAAUGGGAGGUACAUUUCUUCUAAAGCUAAAUAUUGGCCAGAGACCGAUAGCGCACGAGUAGAGUGAUCGAAAGAUGAAAAGCACUUUGGAAAGAGAGUCAAACAGCACGUGAAAUUGUUGAAAGGGAAGCGCUUGCAGCCAGACUUGCUUACAGUUGCUCAUCCGGGCUUUUGCCCGGUGCACUCUUCUGUAGGCAGGCCAGCAUCAGUUUGGGCGGUAGGAUAAAGGUCUCUGUCACGUACCUCUCUUCGGGGAGGCCUUAUAGGGGAGACGACAUACUACCAGCCUGGACUGAGGUCCGCGCAUCUGCUAGGAUGCUGGCGUAAUGGCUGU